GACGAACGCUGGCGGCGUGCUAACACAUGCAAGUCGAACGGUAAGGCCCUUCGGGGUACACGAGUGGCGAACGGGUGAGUAACACGUGGGUGAUUUGCCCUGCACUUCGGGAUAAGCCUGGGAAACUGGGUCUAAUACCGGAUAGGACCACUGCCUGCAUGGGUGGUGGUGGAAAGCUUUUGCGGUGUGGGAUGGGCCCGCGGCCUAUCAGCUUGUUGGUGGGGUGAUGGCCUACCAAGGCGACGACGGGUAGCCGGCCUGAGAGGGUGACCGGCCACACUGGGACUGAGAUACGGCCCAGACUCCUACGGGAGGCAGCAGUGGGGAAUAUUGCACAAUGGGCGCAAGCCUGAUGCAGCGACGCCGCGUGAGGGAUGACGGCCUUCGGGUUGUAAACCUCUUUCAGCACCGACGAAGCGCAAGUGACGGUAGGUGCAGAAGAAGGACCGGCCAACUACGUGCCAGCCGCCGCAGUAA
rnacentral:rRNA from 1 species